rnacentral:misc_RNA from 1 species
UCUGCUUCAAUAUGUUGCUCCUUGCUGCAACCACGGAA